UACGGGGGGGGCAAGCGUUGUUCGGAAUUACUGGGCGUAAAGGGCUUGUAGGUGGCCAACUAAGUCAGACGUGAAAUCCCUCGGCUUAACCGGGGAACUGCGUCUGAUACUGGAUGGCUUGAGUGUGGGAGAGGGAUGCGGAAUUCCAGGUGUAGCGGUGAAAUGCGUAGAUAUCUGGAGGAACACCGGUGGCGAAGGCGGCAUCCUGGACCAUUACUGACACUGAGAAGCGAAAGCCAGGGGAGCAAACAGG
rnacentral:rRNA from 1 species